CAAAAGAGGGUAAGACGUCUGGGAUUCAAUAGAAGGUCAGAACGGCGAUCUAUUUGCCUGGUCCAGCUUUCUUUUAUACUCUGACAUCUGGCACCCAUUACCAGAACAAAUUAGAGCAAUUCCAAGCAGCAGCAGAGGAGGACUUCCUGUUCUCAGGCAGCACAGUUAUCAACGUGAACACAGGAACUGAGGCUCAAAACAAUGCAGCCUUAGAAAUAGAUUUGCGGCAAUUGCUUUGCUGACUUAAAGCACAGCUCGUGGACACAGAAAGAAUGAGGGAUAAUCUCAACUGUGAAGACUAAAUUGUUUCAAAUUUUCCUAAAGAUUAUAGGAAAAAGUAUUAGUCAUAUCAUUGAUAAGAUUUUGGCAAGAAAACAAGUGCAACAUGAGAUGCUUCAAACCGAAUUAGAGCUGAGAGUCCAUAGACAUGAAGAAAAGAACAUUUGGAUUUUCACCAUGCUUCGCCCUGCCUUUACCCAGAUUUGAGUUCUCAGAAGCCAAGGUCCUCUUCUAAAUGUCCGUCUUUUCCCAACACAGUGUUAUGAAAUGUUAUGCUAAGGGAAAUGAAGGGCAAAGCCUUCUGUAUCUGACUGGAGGUAAACCUUGGUCACAGUUUCACUAACACUUGGACAUUGCAGUACGAGGGCCUCUCACUGCUGUGGCCUCUCCCGUUGCGGAGCACAGGCUCCAGACGCGCAGGCUCAGCGGCCAUGGCUCACGGGCCUAGCCACUUCGGGGCAUGUGUGAUCUUCCCAGACCGGGGCACAAACCCGUGCCCCCUGCAUUGGCAGGAGAACUCUCAACCACUGCACCAGCAGGGAAGCCCCCAUUUAGGAGAUUCUUAUCUUAACCCAUCCAUCAGUCUGUGUAAUUUGUGAGCAAAAUUUUAUAUAAGGGAAAUGUACGGCAUCAGGGUUACUUUUUCUAGCAUUAUUUGCUCUUCUCUUUUAUUUAUUCUUAGGCCACCUCUCUAGUCUCUGUAAGGUCUUAAAUCAUUUCUGAUUAAAAUUUACUAUCUUGAGAGUAUAAUUUAGAUUUCACCUCUGUUUUUCCUCUCAGCAACAUUUAAAUAAGGGAAACAAGAGAGGGAUGUCUGUUUAUCACCUAGUUUAUCAUUUUAGAGAUUCCUUACUAGUUUUGAUUAGAAUUUGUACUGUUUUCCAUAAUAUGCAUCACACUUCAUAUCAAUGUCAAUCCAUAGAGUUAUUUGAAAACUUUAUAAAAUAUUUCACUAGAUGGAAAUUCAGGGACCAUAAGUGUAACAGAUGAAAAAAUUGAAGUUGAUGGAUGUUAUACAAUUUGCCCAAGAGUUAGUUGGCAUAAGAACUAGAAAUAAGACCAUUAUAUUCUGAGUUAAUCUAUCAAACAGUCAGUAGGUAAAUAUGGACAACCUACCAAAAUUAUUAUAGUUUUUCAUUUUAUUCUCUAUGAGUUUUGCAUUUUUCUACUUUAGCUGCAAUUUCAUGUUGCCUUUUUUCCCCUAUAUUUGAUAACAUAAGUUUGGCACUGAUUUAGAGGAGAACAGCCAGGACAAUUAAGAGGGAUAGAAAAAAGUAGAGGGUGUAACUCAGAGAUGGUAAACGUACAGUUCGGGGAAUUCAUGAGGAAACCUCCCCACCAGGACCCUACCCCAGUUGUGAUUUCUUUUCUUCUUCCUUUUGCUACAUCAUUUCUCAGCCAUCAGUUUUGUUACAUUAUUCUCCUUAAAGUAUCAUAGUUAUUAACAUUUGGGGGUAUAUCCCAAUCUAUAUGUUUAUACAAUACACUGAUAGAAAAGAGUAACCAUAAAACAUGCUAUAAGCAAUGUGUUGAUGCUUUUUUUCAUGCACAUCUUCUUAUCAUUCCACUCAUUUCAUAUUUUGUUUUCCAUCAUGUGAUGAACAUUUCCCUUAUUUUGUAAUGUUGCUUGGAAAAUGAUUCAUAGCUCAAGGCUAUGACCAAAGAGUAUAAAGGCAAAUUUGUUUCAAAAUGCCAUUUUUGUGAUCUAAACCCCUAAUGUUUCCAAAGCAGCAACUUGGGAACAUUGGAGCUAUUCAGUUUUGGUUCACAACAGUCAGUCUCCUCAAAGGUUGCAUUGUGCUCUGCUUUUAUGAAUUACUUGCCUAGUAAUAUUACCUUCUCCAAACUCAUAGCCACAUUCAUGUCCAAACUUCAGUAUCAUUCUGCUCAAUUCUCCUAACAAACAAUAAAAUGCAAUUUUUUUUUGCCUGUUCAGACAGUAAUUAUCAACUUUAAGUUAAAUAAGAAUCAAUAUUCCUUACAGAAUGAAAUGCAAAAGCCAAUUUGAGCAUAUUUCUUAAAUCUAUAACAUGUGAAAUCUGGACCACUUGCUGAACAGGAUCCUGAUUUCUCAGGAAGGUUAUUAUACAUUUACCAUUCAACCAUGGCAGGAAUCAACUUCAUCUUUGUGAAAUAUAAAAUAAAACAGGACAAUUAUGAAUCAUGUUUCUAAAACAGAUAGUUCUCUAUAGUUGUUAUACAUGAAAACUAAUAAUUCAGUGACUGAUUUCAUAAUACUCUUUAGCUAGUAAGAUAAGAGCAUAGAAUGUCCUUGAAUUAAAGGCUCAAACUUAAUAGAAAGAUCAUGUCUUCUAAACUUGAAAGAAGAAACCAAGAAGGUUCAGUUAAUUUAAGCAAAAAACAGCUGCUCAUACUGAUAAAUAUACUUUUCAGCUACCAAGGAGUGGCAGAGCAAGGAAGAGACAUAUACAUUUGAGAGGAAAAAAAUCAUAGGAAUGGAAGUAGUGUUUGUAUUGAUUAUAAACUCUUUAAUUAUUCCCAAUAUGGGCCCUGAACUGAAAGCAGCAUUUCGCUUUGGCUAAACUAUUUAGUCAAGCAAAGGCAAUAGAAAUCAGCAUUUGUUUCUUUGCUAUUUGAUUUUGUUUGUUUUGCACACAUUUGUUUUCUUUCUCCUGGGGAGUCUGAUUUCUAUGUAACUGGGGACAGGCAGUUGGGCUGUUGGUUAGGAAGUUGGUGCUUUCCCAGAGAGUUAGAUCCUUCGAAAUAAACAUGGGGCCCAAGGUAUACCAUGUGCCAUGCCACACUGCUAUGGAAUCAAUCUGUCCAGUGCAAAUCAUGAACAAAAUAUUAAAAUGAGUAUCAUAUAAGAUGCACUGCCUUUGCUGUCUGAUAGACCUAAAUUUGAAUCUUAAUUCAUUUUUUUACAAGCUAUGUAGCUGCCAUUUAAGAAACAUAUUUACCCUAAUGUCUUAUUAAAAUAGGGAUACUACAUUCUACAUCAAAGGGCUGUUGCAAGGAUAGAAAAUAAUAUAAGUAACAUUAACUAGGCCAGUAACAAAUACAUCAACUUUCCUUCCAUUUUGUGCAAACCAUUCUAUAAAGUAUGCCUACUAGCUGCUCCACUGAUUUGAGAUUUUAUUUAUUACAAAUUUAUUUAUGUUUAACCUAUUUAUGGUAGAUUUAUGGUAAGCUCUAUUUAUUUUAUGUAUCUACACAAGAGUUAUUAUUUCCAAAGCAACCUAAUUCACAUCUAGAGAAUUAUAUAGCUGCUGAGAAAGUCAGUUCUCUGUAGCUUUUACAAAUUGGCUCAACCAGGGACACUUUUACUUAGUUUUAAAGAAAAUCAUAAUUCUUCCAAUGAACUAAGAAACAUAAUACAAAACUUGGCAAGUCAACACUUAGAUAAGGCUGUGUUUGGAUGACAUUUAAAACCAGACACUGCUACUGAACAUAUGCUGAAGAUUAUCACAAAUUAAAGCUUUGAUGGGGUCUUCUUCCAUCGGUACAUUUGUUGCUUGUAUGUUUUUUAAAAACAUACAAUUGUAUGUACAAACAACAAUAUACAAACAACAAUUGUAUGUACAAACAACAUAUACAAUUUUCUUGUUUGUAUACGAUCUGGGAUGCAAUAAAUGUUUUGGAAAGUUAAGCACACUAAAUCCAUUUAGCUUUGGCAACAUCUGAAUGUCUGUGUUUCCAAGUUUUAUAUUGAUUCAGAAGCCUCCAUUAAUGUUUCUGAAAUCUGAGAAAACAAAACAGUAAGCUGUUUUAUUCUUGUUUUUCUGUGUCAUUACUCAUAAAAUGUCAAGAAAAACUUUCUUUGAAUGUUAUGCAAUUUAACACAUCACAUAUCAUUGACAUCAUAAAAUAAAAGCAUGAGUCUUAUUUAGAGAUACCUAAGCAUACCCCUCUUAUAUGUGGAACUUUCAGAGCAAAGGCAAAGAUAUUUACUUUUUGGUUAAGAGAGUAUGUUAUGGAAAGUGAUAUAGAGCAUCUUUAAUGAACAAAUACAUUUGAUUCAAAAUGUCACAACUUUUUGUUUCCAGCUCCUCUAUUGAAUAGAGACAUUGUGAAAUUACAUUCAGUGUAGGACAUCAUAUAUUCAUUGUGACUUAAAUCUGUUUCUUUAACCAAUAUUUGUUAUGAAACAAUCAAUAAGCUUUCAGCAGAUACAGCGUCUUUAGUUGGAAAGUUUAUAAAGCAUAUUGUAAAAUACAGAGGUAGAAAAUAUUUCAUUUCUGAGUUAUCUGAAUAUGAAUAUACCUGAAUAUGAAUACACGAAUAAA